rnacentral:tRNA from 3 species
GGAGAGGUGGGUGAGAGGCUGAAACCACCACACUGCUAACGUGGCAAGGAGUAAUAUCCUUCGAGGGUUCGAAUCCCUCCCUCUCCG